CUACGGGUUGCAGCAGUAGGGAAUAUUGGACAAUGGGGGAAACCCUGAUCCAGCAAUGCAGCGUGAGUGACGAAGGCCUUAGGGUUGUAAAACUCUUUCAUCGGUGAGGAUAAUGACAGUAGCCGAAGAAGAAGGACCGGCUAAUUCCGUGCCAGCAGCCGCGGUAAUACGGAAGGUCCUAGCGUUGUUCGGAAUUACUGGGCGUAAAGCGCAUGUAGGCGGAACAAAAAGUUAGAAGUGAAAUCCCUGGGCUCAACCUAGGAAUGGCUUUUAAAACUUUUGUUCUGGAAUUCAGGAGAGGAAAAUGGAAUUUCCAGUGUAGAGGUGAAAUUCGUAGAUAUUGGAAGGAACACCAGUGGCGAAGGCGAUUUUCUGGACUGAUAUUGACGCUGAGAUGCGAAGGCAUGGGUAGCAAACGGGAUUAGAUACCCCAGUAGUC
rnacentral:rRNA from 1 species